AAAGGGAAUAACAGGGCCCUCCUAAAGGGAAUGACAGUUUUUUUUUUUUUUUUUUUUUCUCUCUUUUGUUC
rnacentral:ribozyme from 1 species